rnacentral:rRNA from 1 species
UACGUAGGGGGCAAGCGUUGUCCGGAUUUAUUGGGCGUAAAGAGCGUGUAGGCGGCUUUGCAAGUCCGUUGUGAAAACUCGAGGCUCAACCUCGAGACGCCGGUGGAAACUGCAAAGCUAGAGUCCGGAAGAGGAGAGUGGAAUUCCUGGUGUAGCGGUGAAAUGCGCAGAUAUCAGGAGGAAUACCGAUGGCGAAGGCAGGUCUCUGGGCUGACACUGACGCUCAUGCACGAAAGCGUGGGGAGCAAACAGG